GACAGGGGGGGCAAGCGUUGCUCGGAAUUACUGGGCGUAAAGCGCGUGUAGGCGGACCUGCAAGUCGGACGUGAAAGCCCUGGGCUCAACCCAGGAACUGCAUCCGAAACUGCGGGCCUGGAGUGGUGGAGAGGGAAGCAGAAUUCCUGGUGUAGAGGUGAAAUUCGUAGAUAUCAGGAGGAACACCGGUGGUGAAGGCGGCUUCCUGGACACUUACUGACGCUGAGACGGCGAAAAGC
rnacentral:rRNA from 1 species